CUGUUGUAAACAUCUGUAGAUCUGUGCACAGAACUAAAGUGAAACAUUUAGGAAUUGUCUGAUACCUGCUCUCUGCACAGGACAUAAAGAUAUAAAUAGGAUUAGACGAAAUAAAAGGGUUUAAAAAGUGAAAGAAUUUGUUAUAGAAGCCAUUGUAUAAAAGAGAUUGUUUCUUUUUCUUGUUUUCUUACUUCAGCCACUGUAUCUUCAUGAAGCAUAAUCUGAUGAACAUUCGGUUCUUAAUUUGACCAGCUUUUGGUUGCUUGUUCGUGGUUCAUGUUCAUGCAGCCCCAUUCCCGUUUCUUUUACCAUUGCUUCUUUUUCUUCGCUGUGGUUUCAGAUUGAGUGUUUGGUUUGGGGGAUCACAGCUAGCAAACAAUGGAAAAGUGGGAGAUAUCUUUUCUAACAUCUCAACAAAAGCUUGUAUAUGGACCGUGCCACGGACUCAAUUAGUUGAAUGGCACCGGAGCUGCUAUUGCUUGGCUUUGUUAGUUCAUGCCAGUUGUCGUUGCCAGUUGUCGUUGCUGUGGAUGUGGUUACCCUGAAGAUUAG
rnacentral:lncRNA from 1 species